rnacentral:rRNA from 1 species
UGCGGUAUCCUGACCGUGCUAAGGUAGCGAGAUUCCUUGCCCUUUAAUUGGGGGCCAGAUGAAUGGAUUUACGAGGGCUAUGCUGUCUCUUUUUAAAUUUUGGAAAUUGGAAUUCAAGUGAAUAUACUUGAAUUGGUAUACAAGACAAAAAGACCCUGUAGAGCUUUGUUUUGAGUUUGAUUAAUUAAUUUAUUAGUAUAAAUAUAAAAUUAUUUAAAUAAAAACUUAACUGGGAAGGWUGAGGAAAAGCUAAUCUUCUUUUUUGAUUUAUACGAAAACAAAUCUGAAUUAGAACUUAUAAUUGGUUGAAGGAUAAGCUACCUCGGGGGUAACAGACUAAUUUUUCCUGAGAGUUCACAUUGACGGAAAAGUUUGGCACAUCGAUGUUGGCUUAAGAGAUCCUGGGGGUCAGUAGCAGCUUCCUAGGGCGGGUUUGUUCAACCCUUAAACUCUUUCAUGAUCUGAGUUCAAACCGGAG